rnacentral:rRNA from 1 species
UGGGGAAUUUUGGACAAUGGGCGAAAGCCUGAUCCAGCAAUGCCGCGUGUGUGAAGAAGGCCUUCGGGUUGUAAAGCACUUUUGUCCGGAAAGAAAUCCUUGGCUCUAAUACAGUCGGGGGAUGACGGUACCGGAAGAAUAAGCACCGGCUAACUACGUGCCAGCAGCCGCGGUAAUACGUAGGGUGCAAGCGUUAAUCGGAAUUACUGGGCGUAAAGCGUGCGCAGGCGGUUUGCUAAGACCGAUGUGAAAUCCCCGGGCUCAACCUGGGAACUGCAUUGGUGACUGGCAGGCUAGAGUAUGGCAGAGGGGGGUAGAAUUCCACGUGUAGCAGUGAAANUGCGUAGAGAUGUGGAGGAAUACCGAUGGCGAAGGCAGCCCCCUGGGCCAAUACUGACGCUCAUGCACGAAAAGCGUGGGGAGCAAAACAGGAUUAGAUACCCUGGUAGU